rnacentral:rRNA from 1 species
GACGAACGCUGGCGGCGUGCUUAACACAUGCAAGUCGAACGGAAAGGCCCUGCUUUUGUGGGGUGCUCGAGUGGCGAACGGGUGAGUAACACGUGAGUAACCUGCCCUUGACUUUGGGAAAACUUCAGGAAACUGGGGCUAAUACCGGAUAGGAGCUCCUGCUGCAUGGUGGGGGUUGGAAAGUUUCGGUGGUUGGGGAUGGACUGGCGGCUUAUCAGCUUGUUGGUGGGGUAGUGGCUUACCAAGGCUUUGACGGAUAGUCGGCCUGAGAGGGUGACCGGCCACAUUGGGACUGAGAUACGGCCCAGACUCCUACGGGAGGCAGCAGUGGGGAAUAUUGCACAAUGGGCGGAAGCCUGAUGCAGCAACGCCGCGUGCGGGAUGACGGCCUUCGGGUUGUAAACCGCUUUCGCCUGUGACGAAGCGUGAGUGACGGUAAUGGGUAAAGAAGCACCGGCUAACUACGUG